UCAAAUUUCUAUCAUUUUUCAACUAUAUCUUGACCUUUCUCUAACUUUCUAUCAUCGAAAAAGCAUAGACGAUGGCAGCAGAAAGCUUCCAUCCUAUGACUCCCACCGUCUAGCAACCACCAAACCCCUCGCCCUCUCCCUCUUCUCCAUUUCAUUCAUCUACUCACAUAUUCUUCUCUAUACCUCCAUGUCUCCCGAUCUUUGAUCAUCUCAAAUCAAAAAAAUUACUGGCGAACCACCACCAAAAUGAAAACCUCCCAAAGCUCUAUCUUUUUCGGUUAAUAUUGGAGAAUUCCGACAAUAAACGUGGAGAUCUGGCCAGAUUUGGACAAAAAUAUUUGUUUCCUCCAUUAGAAGAAUUCCACAAAAUCUGUAAAUCUGACGGUAACCACCCCUAACGGAAAAGCCUCCCAGAUCUUCAUCUUUUCCAACAAUGUCAAAAAUUCUGACAAUAAAGGUGGAGAUCUGGUCAAAAACAUCUAUUUUCUCCAUUUGGAGAAUUUCACAAAAUCUAUGUAUCUGAGGAACUUUCAUAUUGCUGAUAUGUAACAUAAUGUAUCUAACUAAAGUUAUUUAUUAAACCAAUGUUAAUGUUACUGAUACACAAACAAAACAUGUUUUAUAAUGAUCCAAAAUGUUAUUAGAUGAGAAACACCUGAAUUUUUUU
rnacentral:lncRNA from 1 species